GAUGAACGCUGGCGGCGUGCCUAAUACAUGCAAGUCGAGCGAACAGAUGAGGAGCUUGCUUCUCUGACGUUAGCGGCGGACGGGUGAGUAACACGUGGAUAACCUACCUAUAAGACUGGGAUAACUUCGGGAAACCGGAGCUAAUACCGGAUAAUAUAUUGAACGGCAUGGUUCAAUAGUGAAAGACGGUUUUGCUGUCACUUAUAGAUGGAUCCACGCCGCAUUAGCUAGUUGGUAAGGUAACGGCUUACCAAGGCAACGAUGCGUAGCCGACCUGAGAGGGUGAUCAGCCACACUGGAACUGAGACACGGUCCAGACUCCUACGGGAGGCAGCAGUAGGGAAUCUUCCGCAAUGGGCGAAAGCCUGACGGAGCAACGCCGCGUGAGUGAUGAAGGUCUUCGGAUCGUAAAGCUCUGUUAUUAGGGAAGAACAAAUGUGUAAGUAACUAUGCACGUCUUGACGGUACCUAAUCAGAAAGCCACGGCUAACUACGUG
rnacentral:rRNA from 1 species